rfam:Heterocephalus glaber contig167138, whole genome shotgun sequence.
GUUCGGCCCCCACCCCAGUGCUGCCCAGCGGUGGCCCAGGCACUUCGGGAGGCCGCCCACGUGGGAGGCCACAUCCCUGUUUAAUAUUUAAACAGCACUGUUCCCA